AUGAACAGUGCAGGCUGGAGCCGAGCCGGUAAUGGACGAAAAGACGAUUUUGCCCCUGCAUGCUGUUUCUUGCUUCGACACUUGGGGUGUUGCUCGGUGCAUGCUGUUUCUUGCUACGACACCUGGGGUGAUGCUCAAUGCUGUCGUGUCUAUGGUACUUCACUCCACCGAGAGGUAGAUAGUGAAGGAAGUGGUGCUGUUUGUUAGUAUGUACGAGUCUGAUUCCAUCUUCCCUGUUACGCUGUUUGCUGAGAAUUCUGAUUUAGAGUCUGAUUCCAUCUUCACUCCACAGAGAGGUAAAGAGAGAGAGAGCAGAGGGAAUUGAUAUCCGUCUGUAAUCGAAGAAAUUGGUGCUUGGGGGUUUGAUUUGAUACGCGGCAAGGAUUAAUUUCUGUGGCAAAGGGAUUGAAUUCCGUCUCUAACCUGCAUUUGAUCACUCGGCACGAGGUUACAAAGCUCCAGCUUUCUGGAGAUGGCGAUCUUCUUCAUUUUAAGAGAAUUAAGGUUGGGUACCUGCACCUGAGGAUUCUUGGCAACAUCAGCUCCUCAAAUUUGUUAGAUCAUGCCGAGGGAUUUGUAUAAUCUCACGUCCAGGAGUCCAGAAGGUGCACAGGCUGCUUCGAGUCUUACCGGGACAGUGCUUGGAUGAGGAUGUUGCCUUCUAACACAGCUAUUGCACAUGUUAGCCCAACAAAGGUUCUCGAAGAUAUGCCUGCAAUUUGCUUCGACAAGGAAACAAAUAAUAAUGAACUCAGAAACCCCUGAAGCUCAAGCUUUGGAGAAGGUGGAGGAUAAGUCCAAAUGAGAACUCUGAAGCAUUGGCUUUUAUCAUUGAUUUUUUCAUUGAUAAUAGCUAUUGAUUUGAGUUGAAUUAUUUACUGACCUUUAAUAUUGGCUUUUAUAGGACAUAUAUCAGUACUGGUUUUGUUAUCUAAUCUGUUUGUUGUUAUAUGCUGUGCUACUCCAAAUGGUUUUCGCAUUGAUUAUGGCUACUGUCUCUUUUUUUGUCAGCUAUUAUCUCUAUUUAAACAGUUGUCUUUAUGAUUUAUUCUUCAAUUAUACAGUUUUGCAUUUCUUGGAUUGAUUAGUUUGUGGUGGAUUUGCAGCUUGAGAAAAGAGUGAACGAGGUUGAGCAGUAUUACUUGAGGAAAGGCAGUCUGCAACCAACCACUUCGAAGGAGAAAGACGGAGAUAAACAUUUUAAUACAAUUAAGAAGCAGCAACAAGAUGCAUCAUGUAGGGACGCUGCUGCUGCAAAGAGGAUGCGAGAUCUGUUGAAUGAUAGUGACAUUUUUGCCCCUACAUUCUCGCUGGCUUUUACCUGACUACCCCGACGAGGACUGGAUGUGGCUCUUUUUCAUUGCUCCACGAAGAGAGAGAGCAAUCUUGAGAGAGUUCAUGAAUGAUCCAGAGACCCGGCGUUUGUUUCUUUGCUUCGCACGAAGAGAGAGAGUGGGAGAUAGAGGUGAUAUUCAAGAAAGAGACUGAUCGGAGAGGCACACAGAGAAAGAAAGAAGUGUGAGAGGGAUCUGGGUUUUGACUACAUCCCCAAAUUUCUAAUCGAGGUGCUCAAAGAACGAAACGGUGAUAUUCGCUCUUUAUGGAGACAGUUGCUAGUUGCUACAUAUGUGGAUUUACAAUCUCGAUACAGAUGUGAGCAACUGAUCUUACACUGAGGAGUUGUGUUUAUUUGAGAAGAGAAAAUUUCCAAAGAUUAUUAUUCGUUUUGAAGCUGUUGGAUUUUAAAGCAAAAUGACUGCAGUAUCUAAACAAAUUGACUGAGAAUCAUUCGAAUAUUGCGAGUUGUCAACAAUAUCCAGCCUGCCGGGCAUACUGAUAUUGUGCAUAUCAAUGGUCAGGAAAAUGCAGAGGAGGAGGAUAUGGAUAACAAUGAUGAUCUUGCUGGAGAUGCCAUUGAAAGUGAUGACAAGGAAGAACAGGUACCAGCAGAACGGCCUCCCAAAACAUCAAAAUUUAUAGAUUGCUAUGAAAGAGCUUCGUGAAAGGAAGAUACCCUUUACCAUCCGCCACUACCUGCCUGAUAGAAGCCCUGAUGACAGAUUGUAGCCAUCCAUCAAAAAGUUCUCACACACCAAAGUUUGAUUUCGUGUGUAAUGAAAAUUAUGCUAUGUAAUGUUAUGAAAUCAACGAUAUUCUUGUACAGUUAAUUUUCUAAACAAUGUCCACCAAUAUAUAAUAAUUGCUUUUUCCAACUGUUUCACUCAAAAACAAAAAGCUUCGGAUCGGCGGAGGGAGGAGGAAGAAGACAAGCAUCGUGACAGAAUCAGCGAUCUCUCAGACGAUAUAUUGCAUCUCAUACUCUCAUUCUUGCCUUUGAAAUCGGUUGGGCAAACCAGUGUCCUAUCUCGAAGAUGGAGUCAUGUAUGGUCUUCCUAUCCUAUCAUCGACUUGUACGAGAUCUUUACUGGUGUUGAAGCUUUUCAUCACCAGACAAAAGAAAGGAUCAUCAACAGUGUUGGCUCCCCGCAACGAAAACUAUAGCAUGGAGAUUUCUCCAAUUCCGGGGGAUCCGAACCGGUCUUGUUCUUUGUCUAGGGUUGAACACCGUGUACUUGACGUCUCGUUAAGCAGUGAAAACAGAUCAUUUGAAUUGCUUCGAUGUCAACUUAAGUGCCACUCAUUACGGAGGCUCGAGUCUAAUAACAGUAGAUGUGGGAGUUCAUGGCUAGGGUUUCCCUCUUCUUACGUUGUUGGGUCUUAUCUCCGUUCACUUCACACAUUGUCUCUAACAUGUGUGGAUAGUGCUUUGGUUAUGGAUUUUUUCUCCGGUUCUUCAUUCCCUUCUCUUGAACAAUUGAAGAUAGAAAGUUGCAGAGGAACAAGUGAUCUCAAAAUUAGUUGUCCAAACCUAAGAGAUGUACGAGUUUUUUUAUAUGGAUUUAAAUAGCUUAGACAUCUCCGAAAUGAGACUAAAAGUUUUGAGUGUCUGGUGGUGUUUCAAGGAGUGCAUCAAUGGAAGUUGGGUGAAAAUCCUUGCCCCUAAUUUACAAUUUAUUAUUUGGGGCUAUAAUGCCAUUACUGAAAACUGUUCAAUGCAGAGCUUUCCUAGGCUCAAAAGAUCUUUCAUGUGGUCUCGGAAUAGAGGUCCUAUUACAAAGACGAAGAUUAAUACUAAUGGUGUUGUCGAUCUUCUUUCUGGUUCAUCUCAAGUUGAAGUUCUUACCAUAUCCUAUAACUACCUACAGUUUCUGUCAGAAACUUAUUUUGAACUAGGUGGUCUACCAUUCUCAUUUAUGAAACUUGAGACUUUGAGGAUUAAGAAUCCCUCCUGCAGGUUGAACAAAAGAUAUAUCCCAGGUAUAGCAUGCCUGUUCAAGAGCUCUCCCAAAGUCCACACCCUCGAGAUUUGUUUUAGCGACUCUUUCAGAGGAAAAGGAAAAGUAAAUGAUAAGUGGAACAACAUUUUGUUGGAUGAUUCCAAUUGCACGGAAGAGCAGUUCUGGGAAACUCAGGCUCAAAAUUUUAGUCCCUUUCUUAGUCACUUAAAGGUGGCCAACAUUGAAGUUGGUAAGAAUUCGAUCAAUUUUGCAAAGUUUUUGCUUAAAUAUGGAAGAGGCCUACAAGAAGUGAUUCUCAGUUUUAGGGAAGGCAGAAGUACCCUACUUCCCAAUUCGUUGAAUGAUACCAUUGAUUUAUUAAAGGGAUUCCCCCGAGCAUCUGCAUAUGUCAAAUUCUCAAUUUCUUGCUCUUCAAUGUAUUAGAUACUUUGCUUAAUUUCAGGUACUAUCUUAUUAAGGAAUACAUUCAAGUUAAUUUGUCAGCCAA